rnacentral:misc_RNA from 1 species
CUGUGCUGCCACUGCUGCCACGGCAGCACACAAACGUACACGCAUUCGUUGACAGAGCCGCUGCAUUCUUCCUCAUGUCCAUGUGCAGCGUGCGCAGACGCCUUCCUGCCCCGUAAGCGUAUCCACUAGAGGUCCAUCUCACGCCCGGCUCCUCGCUCACAAGCGAGGGAAGAGGCCGGAGAAGCAAAGGAGGUGGCUGUAUGUGUGUGUGCGGGCGCGCACGACAGAAUCUGACGCCGCCGCUACACCACCAUCAUGGCGGAACGAUCGCAGGUGCAGGUGGUGUGCGCUCCAUACACCGCCAUCGUCGAGGAGUACGCGCUGUUUCUGAAGGCGCGUCAGCUCGUCGUGCAGGCGUUGCCACGGAGCAACGCCAUCGUAGGAGGCCGUCUUCCGUCACCGCGCAAGUCCAUCAAAGGUAUGUAUAGUGCGUCCCGUCGCUCACCAACGGGGAGGCACAGCGCUUACGAGCAUAGUAUUGAUACGAAUGAGGACGGCGGCGGUGUCGACGCCUCCACACGCCUGGCAGCCCUGCAGCUGCCGGCGUCAUGGCUGCAUGCAUGGCUUCGGCACACCGAGGCUUUAGCAGAGGGAGACGACUCCGAUGCGGACGACGUAGCGACGUGGCUGAAUUCGAGCGGGGAGGCGUGGCUCUCGGUGCAGCCAGCGCUCGAGUACGCCUCUCUUAGCUACGGACCCGUCCACGCCGUCAAUUGGCUGCAGUGGGAAGAAGUCAAGGCGCUCCACAAUGCCGAACAACCGCGCCGGAAAUGGCACGCCGAGUUCGCAGCGACAGCGGUCGGGAGGUCACCUGUAAGGGCACCGCCGUGCAUCGUGGUGCAGGUGGUGUUGCUGUGGCUUCAUGAAGGCCAGAUGUAUCGCCUGAUGCCGGAGGAGUUUGUGAAAAUGGAGGUCAAGGCGCGCGCGGCACUCGCUGCUCGGUCGAUGCGGCCACCGCGCGCCGCAUCCACAGGACGGUCUGUGGCGCCGUCCUUCAGGUCACUCUUCACGUGCUACAUGAGGCUGGAGUACCCGCCUGGCACACUGUGUCCCCACCGCGUUCCCGUGCCAAUCGCUGAGCCGCUGCUGACUCGCCAAGAGCUGGUGGAGCUGGUGAGGGCCACGGCCCACAUACGUCGGCACCAUCCGCUGCGUGUGGCGUACCGAGUAUGGCCACAGGCCACUUCACUCACGGCAGCAGCGCCAGCAUCGGCGCUGCCCUGGUCUGGCGGCCGUGCCGGCAUCUCCUCUGCCGAGGCACGGAUUGCGGUGGCGACGCCGACCAUGCGCGCGCCCCCCCUGCACGCGUUGGAGAGCGACGCCGCAAUGGUGGAGUUCAUUCGUGAUGUCCUGGCCUACGGCUGCACGGCCGUGCAAGUCGUGGCGGUGCGCAGUGGCCGCGUGCCGGUACAGGAUACGAAUCGCAGACGGCCUGAGGCAGUCGGCAGCGGUGUGCCGAGAGCACCGCAGCGACCCUACUACGUGGAGCACAACAUGCGACAGGUGGGGGAGAGGAGCGCUGUGCUCGUCACGAACAACGCGCGCAUGAAUGACAUCCUUCGCGGCAUUACGCGGAAAGACAGCGCCACUCAGCAUGGCAAUGUCUCCUCCGUGUGGCGCGCGGUAGAGCCACUGCCCAUUGAUAGGGAGGAUGAGGAAGUGGAGCGCGAGUACAGCAAGGUACCCGCCGACGCAAUCCACCCGCACGAAGCUUCGGGCGAACUCGCCUGCGCCGCGCCCGCAGAGGCGAGGGUAACGGCGGCACUGGCAGAGGCCAGCGGCAUGGACUGUCUUGGAAGCCGUGGCGACGCCGCCCCCUCGUCAAUCCAUGACAGCGACGCGAAGGCCUCCGGUGAAGACGAGCCCCCGCAGCUCUUGCGGAAAGACGCGGUGCCGCCCUCUCUGUCCGAGGAGAGCACGGGCAACAUCACCCCUGCUGGCGAAGCGGCCUUGCAAGGAGUCCAUCACGGUCGCUUCAGCGAUGCAGACGAAUUCGGUGUGACACGGCGCAACGCCGAUCGGUACACCGAGCACGUGUCAGGCGAGGGAGCAGGGGAUGGUGUUGGUUCACAGCAGCAGCGGCAGCAGCCGGAGCUGCAGCGCGAAGCGCUGCGACGCCCUCGCGUGGACAGCAGCGUGCAGUGCAAAUUGUUUAUCGAGGACGCGCUAGAAGGUAAGCCGAUGGCACUGGCGCAGAAGGGGCCGUCGGCGCAAUACGCGGAGAAGGUCAUCGCAGUGGGCUCAUGGAGUGACCAUCGGGCUCCACACACACCGCAUUUACGUGGCCCUACGUCAUCACCGUCCAAGACGCCUGCCGAUCCAGGUGACGUCUCCGCAGGAGCUGCGGAGGGGGCGAUCACAGACAACGUUCACGUGGCUGUUCCAGCGCCGUGCGCGAAGUCGCCGUGCUCUGUCUCCCUUACGCAGCAGCGGCGCACCACCUCGAGCAGCUGCGGCAGCGCCACAAUGCCAGAUCCCGCUACAAUGGUGCUUGUACGCUACAAGGUGGACCCCACUGUCGUGUGCGUCUCCGGCCCCGUGCUGCAGACGGUGCUGCAGCAUCUUCAGGAGGCCAUCUUCCAGCGAUGCUGUGCCCACCUGUGUCGCGACCUGGACGCGCCGCGCCCGCGCUUUCACGCAGCGCACCCUCAUCGCCACGCCGGCAGCGCACAGUUCAAGGCGGCCAUGAGCUUCAUCAACUCCUCCUCGACCGCUGCAGCACCCUCCAGAGAUGCCGUGAUGGCGGUGAGGUUCGGCAACGGAGACCGCAACACCAGAGACUCCGACCUCUCAAUCGCAUCCACCACUGAUGUGCCUUGCACCGAGUUCAUUCUACCGCUCUACCAGUAUACCUUCACCCGUGUCGAAGAGGACGCCCUGGAGCGCUGCAUUGCGGAGGUCAUGGCCACCUACCAAGGCCUCGAGCAGCUGCCAGCGAAGGAGGCGGAGAAGUGGAUACGGACGGCACCGAACCUCGUCUCCCUGGGGUGCUAAAAAAGCCGAGAAGUGGGCAUCAGCAAGGUGACGCCGUUGCUGUCGCGAUGGGUGGGUGGCGAGAGAAAGAAAAACGUUUGGAGGUGGUCAUGGAAGCAGAGAUAAGGAGCGUCGGAAUGCUGAUCGUUGCACACGCGCCUGCUCCCCCCCCACCUCUCUAUCCCCCGUCCACCCGCACCCUCUUCCUCCGAGCAGGAGAAGCCGUGGCCCUGUCGGCCAUGAGCGGCGGCGGCUCCCUCCUCCGCUUCCCUCUUUUCAUCGCGUGUGCGUGUGCGUGUCUGUGGAGCACUCAUCCACCACUACCCCUCCUCUUGUGCGUAAUUUAGUUGCGUGCAUGUACGUCUGUGCGCACAGCGCGAGGAGGGUAGAGGAAGCGAGGCGGGGGUGGGUUGGGGUGUGCUGCUCGACGGGGGCACGGUUUGAACGCCUUCUAUCUCUUCCCCUAUCACUUCUCUGUGUGUGUGUUGUCCCUCUCGCACAAGCGCUCAGCUACUCAUACACUCACACGUGUAUGUAUGUGCACUCCACCCCUCCCCGAACUCGACGGGAUGCCUUCGUUCGCAUCUGUGACUGCGCAUAUGCGUACGCGUCUGCCUGAGUCUCUCCCGCCCGUCCCCCACCCCUCCAACCCCCGCCGCCGCCCUCCUUUCGCAUCGUUCAAGGCGACCGAUGUGGUAUCGAGUGAGUGAGGGAAGGGCAGAGAGGUGGCAUGAUGGUCCGGCGCACGCGUAUGCGGGCACAUAUGUACAUGAAUGCAUACCACCCACACGGCGUUGCUGGUGUCCCUUGGCUCGCGCCCCUCUUGCGGGUGCGGGUGUUUACUUCAUCGUUACUUCUUGUCACCGUCACACAGGCAGGCACACAGCACGCCCACCCCUCUCCCUCCACCUUUGUUGCGAGUACGCGGACAAUCAUCACGCUUGCGUGCUUGAGGAAGGCAGCGGAGGGCGAGAGAAGCGGAUCGAGAAGCUGCGCCGAGUGCGUCUGCGUCUCUCUGCCUGCGUGGCGGUGGCGGUUUCACGUUUGCCUAGCGCGGUGGCUCAUGUCGCUCCCGCAUUACAUGUGCAAUGG